AUUGAACGCUGGCGGCAGGCCUAACACAUGCAAGUCGAGCGAGCGGCGGACGGGUGAGUAAUGUCUGGGAAACUGCCUGAUGGGGGGGGAUAACUACUGGAAACGCUAGCUAAUACCGCAUACCCUCAGAUGUGCCCAGAGGGGAGUAGCUAGUAGGUGGGGUAAUGGCUCACCUAGGCGACGAUCCCUAGCUGGUCUGAGAGGAUGACCAGCCACACUGGAACUGAGACACGGUCCAGACUCCUACGGGUGGCAGCAGUGGGGAAUAUUGCACAAUGGGCGCAAGCCUGAUGCAGCCAUGCCGCGUGUGUGAAGAAGGCCUUCGGGUUGUAAAGCACUUUCAGCGGGGAGGCGUUACCCGCAGAGGAAGCACCGGCGAACUCCGUGCCAGCCGCCGCGGUAAUAC
rnacentral:rRNA from 1 species